AUUUAGAAAGUAUGACACCAUAGCCUUGUAUGGCUGCUUAAAAAAAAAAAAAAAAAGCCAUACUGCAUAUGCCCAAGGACUAGUUUGUUUCUUCUCAAUUUUCCUCCCUGAUUUUAGUAAUUGAAGCCACUCAGAAACUGCCAAAAGGCAGCUUCUGCUUUUCAAAGCAGCAGCCAUGCAGUCCUGCAAUACAAGGCCUUACUUAGUGCCUCUUCAUUCAGGUUCUAGAUUUUGACAUACACUUUUGUCAAAAGUACUUCCUCCAGGGACAUGGAUGCUGUG